rnacentral:rRNA from 1 species
AUUGAACGCUGGCGGCAUGCCUUACACAUGCAAGUCGAACGGUAACGGGCCUUCGGGUGCCGACGAGUGGCGAACGGGUGAGUAAUACAUCGGAACGUGCCCGAUCGUGGGGGAUAACGAGGCGAAAGCUUUGCUAAUACCGCAUACGAUCUACGGAUGAAAGCCGGGGACCGCAAGGCCUUGCGCGGACGGAGCGGCCGAUGGCAGAUUAGGUAGUUGGUGGGAUAAAAGCUUACCAAGCCGACGAUCUGUAGCUGGUCUGAGAGGAUGAUCAGCCACACUGGGACUGAGACACGGCCCAGACUCCUACGGGAGGCAGCAGUGGGGAAUUUUGGACAAUGGGCGCAAGCCUGAUCCAGCCAUGCCGCGUGCAGGAUGAAGGCCUUCGGGUUGUAAACUGCUUUUGUACGGAACGAAAAGCCUUCUUUUAAUACAGGAGGGUCAUGACGGUACCGUAAGAAUAAGCACCUGCUAACUACGUG